CCUCGUUGUUGCAGUAUAUUUUGGACAAAUAAACAAUUUAUUAGGAAAAUACGUUUAAGAAACGCCUCGUGCUGUACUAGCCUAAUUCUGGCAAAUGUUAUUUACUUUCUUCACCUUCGUGUCGAAGAUUGUUGUUUGCUGAUGGCCAAAUCACGACAGCGGACAUCAAUUAUUCAAAAUAUGUUCUUAUAGCUUCACGUUUACGAUACGAAACACGUUUUAAUGUAAGAUUGUUUAUUUUUUGUAUAUGUAGGUUCUAGUUGAAAGUGACAGCGACAAUGAAAAAAGUGCAAACAACAUUGAAAUAUCCAGUUCACUACUAGCUCAAAUCCUGCGACAUAUCACUUGCUAGUAGCCCAGUCUAGUUUUCCCAAUCAAGAAUCAUCUCCUGAAUCAGGCAUACUGGCAACACUGGUUCAUUUGAUAAUGUAAGUUUUUAAACUGGUAUUUUAGAUUAUAGCCAAGGUCAAAUGAGGAUGAAAGUCAUGCAUGAAUUGCUUAUAAAUACACAAAGGAUAAAUACUCAAGUUCCACAUGAACAAAAUAUUAUUAAAGCUUUGAUGAGUGUUCCAACUAUGUUUCAACUUAAUUAAAAUACUCUCAUCCUCGUUUGAUCCAUAAUUAUUUGUUGAUUUUACUCGAUACUAAAUAGUGAAACAUCGAAUCCAGAUAAAAUCUUAUGCAGAACCUACUGUAAUUCCGAGCUGUAAUCACAUAAUGAUAUAAAAGUCGUUUCAGUAGCAGCAAAAGCCAAACUAAACACCAACUAGGAUUAAUAGGUUUAGCUUUUAGGCCGAGAAUAAUACACGAUUGACAAUUUUGUGGCUGAUUGAUUAAUUAAUUAAUAGUAUACUGUAUAUUGAUGUUGUUGUUGUAUACAGGACAUCUGACUUACAUGUCAAAUUAAUAGUCGAAUCUAUGAUUAUAUUGAGCAUGGCAGAUUUGACAUUUUAAACGUUGAUGUUAAUAAUCCAAUGAGUCGCAUUGCUCCCUGAUGCGCACUAAGUAUUUAUUAUUUUACUCCGGUUAUCUAACGCUAGGCAAUUUUACCCAUCAAGGGGAGAGCACUGGCGGUCAAUGUGUUAACUAGGCUAUCUGCUCAUGUUUACAGUUAACCCAUUGAGUCGCAUUGUUCCCUAAAGGCCUGAUUCCACGAGGCGGAAUUUUUCGACCGAAACGAAAUUUCUCUUUGUCUUUUUACAAUUAGUUCUGCUUGAGAGCUCAUGAAACAAAGAGAAAUUUCAAUUCGGUCGAAAAAUUUCGCCUAGUGGAAAACCGCUUUAAUGCGGCCUAAUUUAUUAUUUUACUCUGCCUAUCGCAGGACAAUUUUACUCACUAAGGGCAGAGCGCUGGCGCUUAACGUGUUAACUGGCCUAUCUGCCCAUGUGUCUAGUUAACAGAUUGAGUCGCAUUGCGCCCUUAUUUAUUAUUUUACUCUUUCUAACGCCAGACAAUUUCACUCAAUAAGGGGAGAGCACCAGUACUUAAUGGGUUAACUGGCCUAUCUGCCCAUGCACAUGUGUAAUUGUUAACACAUUGAGUCGCAUUGUACCCUAAUUUAUUAUUUUACUCUGUCUAACGCCAGAUGAUUUCACUCAUUGAGGGAAGAGCACUGGCGCUUAAUGGGUUAACUGGCCUAUCUGCCCAUGUGUGUUGUUAACACAUUGAGUCGCAUUGUGCCCUAAUUUAUUAUUUUACUCUGUCUAACACCAGAUGAUUUUACUCGUCAAGGUAAGGGCGCUGGCGCUUAAUGGGUUAACUGGCCUAUUUGCCCAUGUUUAUAGUUAACCCAUUGAGUCGCAUUGCGGCCUACUUUAUUUUUUUUACUCUGCCUCGAGAGGAGAACGCUGGUGCUUAAUGGGGUUAAUAUUGAAAAUAUAGAUCAACAUUUGUCAAAACUCAUGACUUGUGCAAUCAUUUCUGUAAUAAUUAAGAUAUUAAAAUACCAAAUAUAAUGCCUUAUGGCUUAUUUCAAAUAGGGAGAUGCUAUGUGACUAUGUCCAUUGAAACUUAGUGGAUUUGUUGUAGCUACAUCAAAUAAAUGCUAGCCAAAAACAUAUUCAAGUCAAUCGAAGAGAAUGUAGAAUUGCACUUUACAUAAAAUUCCCUAGUUAUUGUACAUUAAUGAAAAAACAUUUGAAAUGGAAAUAAUUAUAUUGUUUUAAUUUUAUUUCUAUGAUUUGUACUAUGAUAUACAUGGGCUAUACACUCUUUGGGAACCUGCAGGGCUGUUGACAGAGCAUUUCCAUGAUCUGGAACUUCAGUCCUAAACACGAUGUGUGGGUGCGAAGAUGUUGUGUAGGAACAGAACUGUACAGAUUAGAAAUAUGAUUACUGAUAUUUUCCAAAGAAAAACUAUUAAUAUAUAGAAGAGGAAAGAAAGAGGCAAUAAAUAGCCCAAAGUAUCUGUUGUACAUUUGAAAUUUAAAAAUGGUAGGCUUAUUAAGCAUGAGAUCCAGAGAAACACAGUAAUGCAGAACUACAUUCUCUUAAAUUGUCAAAAUUAAACGCUACCAGUCUUGGUCUCGUUUCAAACUUGAAUAACAAAAAGUCUAAAAAUAUAAAAACUAUAAGAACAGAUCAGCUAAGUCCAGUUAUAAAAUUAAAUGAUGAAGGAAAGCUGUCAUUUUAGGAAAGUAUUGUUUUGGGGUGUGUGAACUCAUGAGGUUACAUGUUUCUGGUGAAUCUGCUUGCUGCAGCAAAAAUGUAUUAAUCGCUUGUGACAUAAUUCACAAGAUGUCUAUUUUAACCUGUGGGUUGCCAAACUUCUUAAAUAUGGAAUUUGUUUUGUCUGACCAAGAGAUAAUGAAUACCACUAGUGACAUGAGUAUGUCCAAUUAAUAUUUAACUAGAAAUAAAUGCAUGCAGCAACCCGCCUAGCCUAUAUUUUCCAAACAUUGAUUUAACAUGAACUAUUAGCAAUUGGCCAGCACUGAACACAGGCUCACAUUGUAUCAAGUGUUGUCAAGGCAACAUAAUGUCACAUUAUAUUUCAAAUAUUUUUGAGUAAUUUUGCAAGUGUUCAUACAACAGAAUCUACCAUACAUAAUUUUAAACAAAUAGAUAGGUGAGGUAACUCAAACAAAAUGAUUUUGAACUUUAUUACUCUACUCUGUCGAACGCCUAUUCUACUCGUAAAGGGGAGAGCCCUGGUGCUUAAUGGGUUAAAUAAGAUUGUAUAGUUAUAUGUAUAUCAUGUAUUAUGUUUUUAUGCAGUCUCCUUGAAUCACUUGUACCAGGCUAUGGAAAUUCAAGUUUCCAAUUUUGUAUUUAUUUUUCUUUUGAUACAGUAUACUGUAAAUUUGAAUAAUAUUUGUGCGCUUAUAGUGAGCUUAUUUUUAGGAGAGUUUGUUGCGAGGCAGCACAUAUUUUGAUAUUUCAAAAUAUUACUGUAUAUUUGUAUGUUAUAAUCAAUGCUUUUGGAAGGGUUAUAGGGGUCAGGUGUGAUAUACUUUUUCAGGUAUUUUGUGUCUUAUGUAUGUAAGAGCUUUAUUAUUGGGUUUCUUGGUGAGACCUUAUAUCUUAUGUGUCCUAUAACCCUCUGUAAUUGCGGAUUAUUGCAUACAUUCUAAUUGUAUUUUUUUGUAGGAAUCCAAAGAUGCAAAUGAUACAAUUUUAAACUUAUCACAACUCAUAUUGUGGCCGCUGGCAGCGUACUAGAAUACGACUAGAAACUGUCAAUCAUACGUUAUCGAGGGAAAGGAUGAAAGUUCCAUAACAAGCAACAGUUGUUUUGAUGCAGUUAUCGCCUUAUUGGCAAGUUUUUACAUCUUCAAUAUUGAGUACUGCCACACGAAGAGCAUCUUGUCUGCCUUGCAGACUAUAGUAGUGCAUGGGCAACACAGAAAAUGGCAUACAACUGCCAAUCGUGAGUUUAAGCAAGUGACGUUUUUGACAACACGGACGUCGACCGGAGGUAAAGUUGACGUUUUUCACCAAUCACAGUCCUUGACCCUGUCUUCUGACGUUGCUCAUGCCGUCAGUGUUGUCAAAAACGUCACUUGCUUAAGCUCACUAAUGAGGGUCACAGCCCUUUUCAAUGACUUAAUUGUCAUGACUCAUGAAUAUUAGUACUACAGUAAUUUUACACUUUUUGAGAGUUAUGUUGACAUAUGCUAACCCAAGUUAAUGUUAUUGAUGGAAUGUGUGUAUUGUCUCACAUCUCACCGCUCACCGGGCACACGACGUUGUUUCAACGUUGAAAUUUUGUAGAAAAAAAGGUUGCGACGUCGACAACCUAAUAUCUACGUUGCUCUGACGUUGUUUUACAAACAUUGGUUCAACAGCAGCCAACAGACGUUGAAUUAACGUUCAUUAAUGGUUAAAUGUACGACGUCGAUUUGUGAACCAAUCUCAACGUUGUUUUAACGUGGAUUCAACGUUGAAUUAUGGUUGACGAGAUUGCCAACCUAAUUUCAACGUUGUUUCAACGUCGAAACAGUAACGUCGAUCCAAUUUUCAUAGUCAACCCUUUUUCAACAUCUAUCCAGCGUCUGGAAGGUCAUUUCCAACGUUGAUUCAAUGUUGGAUAAUCGUCAUUUUGCCCGCUGGGCGAACUGUGGUAAUGUAUUAGAAAUUAUUCGUAUUGCGUUCACGUUAACAACCGCGCCUGCUAUUGCUAUCACAAGUUGAUUGCUCUUUAAAAUUAGAAUUGUAAACUUUCGGAGCCAUAUGGCAUAUAUGUACGAAUCUUUUGAUGGUUCCCACAUUUCGGUGAAAUACAUAAUACUGACUACUGUGC